rnacentral:rRNA from 1 species
GACAGAGGGGGCAAGCGUUGUCCGGAUUUAUUGGGCGUAAAGAGCUCGUAGGCGGUUCGGUAAGUUGGGUGUGAAACCUCCAGGCUCAACCUGGAGACGCCACCCGAUACUGCUGUGACUAGAGUCCGGUAGGGGAGCGUGGAAUUCCUGGUGUAGCGGUGAAAUGCGCAGAUACCAGGAGGAACACCAGCGGCGAAGGCGGCGCUCUGGGCCGGAACUGACGCUGAGGAGCGAAAGCGUGGGUAGCAAACAGG